AUGGCGGCCGUAGAAGAUGAUGCAGAUAAGAAAUACAUGAUUCUGUGCACGCUGAUUGCCCUUGCCACUGCCGUUUAUUCGAUAGUUUAUGAGUUCUUACCCCAUGGGAAGUACCAGCUUCAAGCAGUCUACGUUGCGGUGCUUAUUAUUCUCUUGAUGGCCCCUAU
rnacentral:pre_miRNA from 1 species